ACGUAGGGCGCGAGCGUUGUCCGGAUUUAUUGGGCGUAAAGAGCUCGUAGGCGGCUUGUCGCGUCGUUCGUGAAAACUCACAGCUCAACUGUGAGCUUGCGGUCGAUACGGGCAGGCUGGAGUUCGGUAGGGGAGACUGGAAUUCCUGGUGUAGCGGUGAAAUGCGCAGAUAUCAGGAGGAACACCGGUGGCGAAGGCGGGUCCCUGGGCCGAUACUGACGCUGAGGAGCGAAAGCGUGGGGAGCGAACAGGA
rnacentral:rRNA from 1 species